rnacentral:rRNA from 1 species
UACGUAGGGGCCGAGCGUUAUCCGGAGUUAUUGGGCGUAAAGCGCGCGCAGGCGGCCUCGCGCGCCCGACGUGAAAGCCCCCGGCUUAACCGGGGAGGGUCGUGGGGACGGCGGGGCUUGAGGGCGGGAGAGGUCGGUGGAAUUCCCGGUGUAGUGGUGAAAUGCGUAGAGAUCGGGAGGAACACCUGUGGCGAAGGCGAGUCCCUGGACAACUACUGACACUGAGGCACGAAAGCUAGGGGAGCAAACAGG